rnacentral:rRNA from 1 species
AUUGAACGCUUGCGGCAGGCCUAACACAUGCAAGUCGAACGAGUGGCGGACGGGUGAGUAAUGUCUGGGAAACUGCCUGAUGGAGGGGGAUAACUACUGGAAACGGUAGCUAAUACCGCAUACCAUCGGAUGUGCCCAGAUGGGAUUAGCUUGUUGGUGGGGUAACGGCUCACCAAGGCGACGAUCCCUACCUGGUCUGAGAGGAUGACCAGCCACACUGGAAAUGAGACACGGUCCAGACGCCUACGGGAGGCAGCAGUGGGGAAUAUUGCACAAUGGGCGCAAGCCUGAUGCAGCCAGGCCGCGUGUAUGAAGAAGGCCUUCGGGUUGUAAAGUACUUUCAGCGGGGAGGCGUUACCCGCAGAAGAAGCACCGGCUAACUCCGUGCCAGCAGCCGCGGUAAUAC